rnacentral:rRNA from 1 species
UACAGAGGUCCCAAGCGUUGUUCGGAUUCACUGGCGUAAAGGGUGCGUAGGUGGCCAGGUAAGUUUGGUGUGAAAGCUCGGAGCUUAACUCCGAAAAGUCAUUGAAUACUAUCUGGCUGGAGGGUCGGAGGGGAGACUGGAAUUCUCGGUGUAGCAGUGAAAUGCGUAGAUAUCGAGAGGAACACCAGUGGCGAAGGCGAGUCUCUGGACGACUCCUGACACUGAGGCACGAAAGCUAGGGGAGCAAACAGG